rnacentral:RNase_P_RNA from 1 species
UGAGCCGGCCGGGUGGUCGCGGCUCGGAUCCGCCUUCGGCGGAGAAGGGCUGAGGAAGGUCGGGGCUCCACAGGGCAAGGUGCUGGCUAACGGCCAGUCGGGGUGACCCGCAGGAAAGUGCCACAGAAAGCAAACCGCCGAUGGCGGGAUCCGUGCCCGGCACGGCCCGCACAGGUAAGGGUGAAACGGUGCGGUAAGAGCGCACCAGCGUCCGGGGUGACCCGGCGGCUUGGUAAACCCCACCCGGAGCAAGGCCAAGUGAGGGACACGGGCGGCCCGUCCGGUGCCUAUGGCACAGUCCCCUGGUCGGCCGCGUAGAUGGAUGGCCACCCACCCGCUCGAAAAGCGGGUGACAGAACCCCGCCUACAGGCCGGCUCACCAC